UUCUGCCAAAAAAAAAAAAAAAAAAAAAAAAAAAAAAACUCUUAAGUCAAGAUUCUCUGAGCACUAAAUCAGAUUUUCUGUGGUUGGCCCAUAUUCAUUUAGUUAUCAAGAUAAAGGAGAGGGAACACUAAAGAAAGUGGAAAUCUGAGCAGGACCAUUCAAGGACCUUCAAGCACUGUGGUAUCUCUAGGAAGUUCUCUAGCCAAGAAGGAGAUGCCUCAGCUAUAGUCUUUAUGUAGUUACUUGUGUUGGAAACCAGGUGUCCUUAGCUGUGGCCUUGACCUUUGAGGUGUUACCACUUCACCUGCUAUUAUAAGCCUCAGCUUGGACCCGUGACUUAGAAUUUAACUUACUAUGAUUCCAUUGCCCAACUCCAGACAAGAGGCCUAAGCCUUCAACAGACUCACAGGUAAACAUGCAAAGCCCCUUGUUUUAAUAUUAAAUUCCACUUACAGCAGCUUUGUAGUAGUCUCGAGCACUUAUGUUUAUGUAGGUUUUUGUGAUUUCAUUGAUUUCCAAUUUCAUUGCCAUGUGAUCUGAUAAAAAGCAUGGGACAAUUUCACUUUCAUUGCAAUCACAUAAGCAUAUUCAAUGAGUUACUAUGUGUUCUCUGAGAGUGUUCUGUACUCAUGUGAGCCCUUCAAAUGGUCUUCAUUUUUUGUGAUAAAUUUGUAAUUUUAACUAAUAGAACAAUGCCUUAAUGAAUUUUGAUUUUCUAAUAUGUUACAGGAGCUGUCAACUUAGUGUUUACUAGUUAUUGAACAUUGUUAAACAUUUGUUAUACUGAAGUUUUGUUCUGUGACAUAUCAAAAGUUUGAUUUGGAAGAGUCAAAUUUUUUCUUCAAUUUUUCCUUUUAUUAUUUUUCAAUGUAUAGAUAACAAAAUAUUCAGUAUAUAUAUUUAAUCACCUCCAUCCCUCAUUUGUCUCCCAUAUGUCAUGUUGUUUUAUUGAGCUGUAAGAUACUGUUUUCCUUAAUCUAAUUUUAUCAUUUUUAGAUGUUCUCCAGUGAACGCUGUAUUCCACAUUAUCAGUGAUGAACUUUUCUAAGCAUUCAGAUAUGUUUUUGUGUAUGAAACCAGGUUCAGGUUUCAAAAUACUGUCUAAAUAUAAGCACAGAAGAAAGGGAUAAAUUCAGUGAAUAAUACAUUGGGAAAAAGUUAUAUUUUAUGAUCUGUGAGAGUUAUUUAUCAGUUACAAUUCUAUGUGAAUUUCUUGUGUUCUGAUCUUAUAAGGUCCCUGUAUAAACUAUGCUUUAGAAACAAUGUUCAAAAGAAAAUGAGUGUACUGAAAAGAGCACAGUGUUCCUAUUCUACUGUUCCUUUAGCAAAAAAAUGUAGCCUAGCAUCAAAUUUCAUAUAAGAGAUGUGUAUAACAAUAGAGAAUUAGUGUUUGAUGACCAAAACAUGAAGUAAACAUUUAAGAGGAAUCAGGCUCAUUUCAUCUUUUUAGGAAUAGAUGUAAGAUGUUUCAUGUUGUCUCAGUCUUUCUGGAUAUGUAUGUCUGGCAGAAUCUUAUGCUGCUGAACUAUCUCCCCAGCCCUAGAUAAAUACUUCUGGUGAUUUAGGAGGCAGUGUCCUGUAAGGAUGUGGCUGUUAACUUCAUCAAAGAGAAAUAGGCUUUGCUGGAUAAAUCCGCAAAGAAGCUAUACAGAGAUGUGAUGUGGGAGACCUUUAGGAAUGUGGCUAAUAUAGGAAGAAACUCAAAUGGUAAAAAAAGUGAAGAUGAGUACAAAUAUUGCAGGAGAAAUCUAAGAACCGGGGAUUGAACUCAGGUCCUUGUGCUUGCCAC